CCCGGAGCGCAAGCCCGUGUAAAAUGAUAGAAAUGAAGGUCCCAUCGGGUUUGGACACAGAUCUUCAGCUCUACACCAAAGCUUCCCUGAUUGUCAUCCUCUUCAAACUGCUGGUUAAUCGAGAGCAAGAAAGAGAUUGUCCGAGUAUAACCAUUGAGCUCAGAAAUUAAUCUUUCCAAAAUGACACUGUCAUGUCCCAAAUUGUCAGUUUCCCUCACAAUUCUCUGAACACACCGCAGUGUAUCAGUGAAAAAGAUAGCAAUGUUUUCCUCAUUACCAUUUAC